UGGGGAAUAUUGCACAAUGGGGGAAACCCUGAUGCAGCGACGCCGCGUGAGUGAAGAAGUAUUUCGGUAUGUAAAGCUCUAUCAGCAGGGAAGAUAAUGACAGUACCUGACUAAGAAGCCCCGGCUAACUACGUGCCAGCAGCCGCGGUAAUACGUAGGGGGCAAGCGUUAUCCGGAUUUACUGGGUGUAAAGGGAGCGUAGACGGAGUGGCAAGUCUGAAGUGAAAACCCUGGGCUUAACCUGGGGACUGCUUUGGAAACUGUUAAUCUAGAGUGUUGGAGAGGUAAGUGGAAUUCCUGGUGUAGCGGUGAAAUGCGUAGAUAUCAGGAAGAACACCGGAGGCGAAGGCGGCUUACUGGACAAUAACUGACGUUGAGGCUCGAAAGCGUGGGGAGCAAACAGGAUUAGACACCCUGGUAGUCCACGCCGUAAACGAUGAGUGCUAGGUGUUGGGUCCUUUCCGGGACUCAGUGCCGCAGCUAACGCAUUAAGCACUCCGCCUGGGGAGUACGACCGCAAGGUUG
rnacentral:rRNA from 1 species